rnacentral:rRNA from 1 species
UCAAACGUAUCGUUCCGUUUUCUUCGAUGCCCUCGGCAAUCCCAAACCCCACCUCCCACCGACGAUCCCCAAUUUCAGCCGCACGGUCGCCUGUCGCCGGAACGCCCCGAGCUCCCGUAGCGUCGUAGACCACAUACUCCUGAAUCCGAACGCACCGCCAGCGCGCGCCCAUGUCUCGCUCGGCUGUCCACCCGCGCGUCUCCUACCUCGGGGUCCGGCGAGCAGGGCCGGCAGCCAUGGAGAACUGCCACGAGAGGUGCCAAUCCAAGCUCUUCCACCUGAUGGCUCUUGGUUGUGUUG